GUUGUUGUUGAGCUGCAAGAUGAAGAGGUUGACCAGCGGGGACAGCAACCCCCGGGGCAGCUCAGUGACCUUGUUGUGGUCCAGGUAGAGGUUGCUUAUGGAACCACAGAGAACAGUCCCGUGACAUUUGCCCACUUCCCUGAGGACACUGUGGAGCAGAAGGCAGAAAGCGUGGGCAGAAUUAUGCCUCACACGGAGAGAUGUCGCCACAAUGAACGAGCAGGGCUUCUGCAAGAUCGUGGGCCGCUCUAAGGAUAUGAUCAUCCGGGGUGGUGAGAACAUCUACCCCGCAGAGCUCGAGGACUUCUUUCACACACACCCGAAGGUGCAGGAAGUGCAGGUGGUGGGAGUGAAGGACGAUCGGAUGGGGGAAGAGAUUUGUGCCUGCAUUCGGCUGAAGGAUGGGGAGGAGACCACGGUGGAGGAGAUCAAAGCUUUCUGCAAAGGGAAGAUCUCUCACUUCAAGAUUCCGAGGUACAUCGUGUUUGUCACAAACUACCCCCUCACCAUCUCAGGAAAGAUCCAGAAAUUCAAACUUCGAGAGCAGAUGGAACGACAUCUAAAUCUGUGAAUAAAGUGGGAGGCCUGUCCUGGCCGGUUGGCUUGCCUCUCUCCUGUCAGAAUGCAACCUGGCUUUAUGCACCUAGAUGUCCCCAGCGCCCAGUUCUGAGCCAGGCACAUCAAAUGUCAAGGAAUUGACUGAACGAACUAAGAGCUCCUGGAUGGGUCCGGGAACUCGCCUGGGCACGAGGUGCCAAAAGGCAGGCAGCCCGCCCAGGCCCUCCUCCUGUCCAUCCCCCACAUUCCCCUGUCUGUCCUUGUGAUUUCGCAUAAAGAGCUUCUGUUUUCUUUGGCCUCUUGCU
rnacentral:sRNA from 1 species